AACGCGAAGAACCUUACCUGGGCUUGACAUGCAGGGAAAUCUCCCAGAGAUGGGAGGUCCGUAAGGGCCUUGCACAGGUGGUGCAUGGCUGUCGUCAGCUCGUGUCGUGAGAUGUUGGGUUAAGUCCCGCAACGAGCGCAACCCUCGUUCUAUGUUGCCAGCACAUAAUGGUGGGGACUCAUAGGAGACUGCCGGGGUCAACUCGGAGGAAGGUGGGGAUGACGUCAAGUCAUCAUGCCCCUUAUGUCCAGGGCUGCACACAUGCUACAAUGGCCGGUACAAAGGGCUGCGAUACCGCGAGGUGGAGCGAAUCCCAUAAAGCCGGUCUCAGUUCGGAUUGGGGUCUGGAACUCGACCCCAUGAAGUCGGAGUCGCUAGUAAUCGCAGAUCAGCAACGCUGCGGUGAAUACGUUCCGGGCCUUGUACACACCGAUACUC
rnacentral:rRNA from 1 species